rnacentral:rRNA from 1 species
UACGGAGGAUGCGAGCGUUAUCCGGAUUUAUUGGGUUUAAAGGGUGCGUAGGCGGGCUUUUAAGUCAGCGGUAAAAAUUCGGGGCUCAACCCCGUCCGGCCGUUGAAACUGGGGGCCUUGAGUGGGCGUGAAGAAGGCGGAAUGCGUGGUGUAGCGGUGAAAUGCAUAGAUAUCACGCAGAACCCCGAUUGCGAAGGCAGCCUUCCGGCGCCCUACUGACGCUGAGGCACGAAAGUGCGGGGAUCGAACAGG